UCUACAUUGAAACACUAUUUCCCGUAUGAUCACCGAAGUUAAGCAACGUCGUGCCUGGUCGGUACAUAGAUGAGUGAAUCGUUUGGGAAUAUUAGGUGCUGUAAG